UACGAAGGGGGCUAGCGUUGCUCGGAAUCACUGGGCGUAAAGCGCACGUAGGCGGAUUGCUAAGUCAGGGGUGAAAUCCUGGAGCUCAACUCCAGAACUGCCUUUGAUACUGGCGAUCUUGAGUCCGGGAGAGGUGAGUGGAACUGCGAGUGUAGAGGUGAAAUUCGUAGAUAUUCGCAAGAACACCAGUGGCGAAGGCGGCUCACUGGACCGGAACUGACGCUGAGGCGCGAAAGCGUGGGGAGCAAACAGG
rnacentral:rRNA from 1 species